rnacentral:rRNA from 1 species
AUUGAACGCUGGCGGCAUGCUUUACACAUGCAAGUCGAACGGUAACAGGCCGCUAGGUGCUGACGAGUGGCGAACGGUUGCGUAAGGCAUCGGAACGUGCCCACACGCGGGGGCUAACUACUCGAAAGAGUAGCUAAUACUGCAUACGAUCCAUGGAUGAAAGCGGGGGACCGUAAGGCCUCGCGCGAUUGGAGCGGACGGUGUGAGAUCAGGUAGUUGGUGGGGUAAAGGCGCACCAAGCGACCGAUCGGUAGCUGGUCUGAAAGGGAGAGCAGCCACACUGGGACUGGAGCGCGGCCCAGACUCCUGCGGGAGGCAGCAGUCGCAAAUUUUGGACGAUGGGCGCAAGCCUGAACCAGCAGUGCCGCGUGCAGGAAGAAGGCCUUCGGGUUGUAUGCUGCUUUAAUGCGGAACGAAACGGCUCUGGUUAAACCCCGGAGCUAAUGACGGUACCGUGAGAAUAAGCACCGGCUAACUACGUG